ACUGAACGCUGGCGGAAUGCUUUACACAUGCAAGUCGAACGGCAGCACGGACUUCGGUCUGGUGGCGAGUGGCGAACGGGUGAGUAAUGUAUCGGAACGUGCCCAGCCGUGGGGGAUAACGUAGUGAAAAUUACGCUAAUACCGCAUACGAUCUAUGGAUGAAAGCGGGGGAUCGCAAGACCUCGCGCGAUUGGAGCGGCCGAUAUCAGAUUAGGUAGUUGGUGGGGUAAAGGCCCACCAAGCCAACGAUCUGUAGCUGGUCCGAGAGGACGACCAGCCACACUGGAACUGAGACACGGUCCAGACUCCUACGGGAGGCAGCAGUGGGGAAUUUUGGACAAUGGGCGAAAGCCUGAUCCAGCCAUUCCGCGUGCAGGAUGAAGGCCCUCGGGUUGUAAACUGCUUUUGUACAGAACGAAAAGGUUUCUACUAAUACUAGGAGCUCAUGACGGUACUGUAAGAAUAAGCACCGGCUAACUACGUGCCAGCAGCCGCGGUAA
rnacentral:rRNA from 1 species